GACGAACGCUGGCGGCGUGCCUAAUACAUGCAAGUUGAGCGGUGAAGAUUGGUGCUUGCACCAAUUUGAAGAGCAGCGAACGGGUGAGUAACGCGUGGGGAAUCUGCCUUUGAGCGGGGGACAACAUUUGGAAACGAAUGCUAAUACCGCAUAAUAACUUUAAACAUAAGUUUUAAGUUUGAAAGAUGCAAUUGCAUCACUCAAAGAUGAUCCCGCGUUGUAUUAGCUAGUUGGUGAGGUAAAGGCUCACCAAGGCGAUGAUACAUAGCCGACCUGAGAGGGUGAUCGGCCACAUUGGGACUGAGACAAGGCCCAAACUCCUACGGGAGGCAGCAGUAGGGAAUCUUCGGCAAUGGACGAAAGUCUGACCGAGCAACGCCGCGUGAGUGAAGAAGGUUGUCGGAUCGUAAAACUCUGUUGGUAGAGAAGAACGUUGGUGAGAGUGGAAAGCUCAUCAAGUGACGGUAACUACCCAGAAAGGGACGGCUAACUACGUG
rnacentral:rRNA from 1 species